AAAGCAUGAGCUACCUUGGAUACCAUUACUGAGGAUGAACUAAGUGUGUUGAAUUACCAGUCUGGCUCCUCUCCUUUUUCCCGGUGGAAUUGGCUCCAGCCAUUGAACAGGCUAUUGAUUCAUCCAAGGUCAUAUAAUCUAAUGAACAUCAGAGACAGAAUGAGAAUUAUUGCCAAAGACGACUCCUGCAAAGGAAGAUACGUGAGUAUUGAUGAACACACACUUGGUGACCAUGAGAAAGCUACUGAAUGUUUCAGUGCCUCAGUUUAUUCACCUGUGAAAUGGAGAUAAAUGAAUACUACUUGAAGUGAAAUCUGCUGCCAUUCAAGUUGUUUUUCCCAAUAGAUUUUGAUCGUUUGGCUAACUGCUAACAUUCCAUCAAAAGAAUGGAGAAGAGAUUAAAAACCAACAAAUCUUGACUUCCUACAGAGGCACUGCCAGCAGGGGCGGAGGGAGAAGCAGACUCCCCACUGAGCACGGAGCCGGACAAGGGACUCCAUCCCAGGACCCUGAAAUCAUGACCUGUGCCAAAGGCAGAUGUUUAACCAACUGAGACACCCAGGUGCCCCAAGGGAAUGAACUUUUAGCGCACAUUGUGCUGGGAAUUGUGAAUUGUGCUGAGUGGAAAAAAAAAAAGCCAAUCUCAAAAGGUUGUAUACUGCAUGAUUCCAUUUAUACAAUAUUCUCAAAAUGAUAAAAUUAUAGGGACUGAGAACAGAUCAGUGAUUGCCAGGGAGGGGUGGAGUGAGGGAGAGUGGGUGUGAUUAUCAAAGAGUAAUGCAAGAGAGAUCUUUCCAGUGAUGGAACAGUUCCCUGUCUUGACUGUGGUGGUGGUUACAGGAGUCUGCACAUGUGAUCAAACUGCCCAGAACGCACACGCACAUGCACAUAAUACAGGUAAAACCGGUGAAACCUGAAUAAGGUAAGUGAAUUGCAACAAUGUCAUUUUUCCUAGUUUGGAAAUUGUACUACAAUUAAUGUAAGAUAUUGUCAUUGGGAGAAAUUGGGUGAAAAGUACAUGGUACCUCUUUAAUAUUUUUGCAACUCUCUGUGAAUCUAUAGUCCCUUUAUUUAUUUAUUUAUUUAUUUAUUUAUUAUUUUUUAUAAACAUGUAUUUUUAUCCUCAGGGGUACAGGUCUAUGAAUCAGCACUCACCAAAGCACAUACCCUCCCCAAUGUCCAUAACCCCAUCUAUAGUCCCUUUAAAAUAAGAAGUUAAAAAAAAUGGAGUAUAACAUGAUAAUGGGGCCACUCUUUGAAAAACUGUCUGAAAUAUGUGACCCAACUUUUCUUUUUUGUGUGGAGAUAACAAAUCCAAAGUGACAACUUGUAGAUCUCUAUAGCUAUAAAAAUGGAAGUGAUUCCCAAACAUAAACUGAUUCCUUUGUGUGAACACUCUAUUUUUAUGUUUCUGGAAACUGACUCAACGUGUUUAUUGACACUUUCUUCUAACUGUGAAAUGUCUGCUUUUCCUAAUGAAAAGUGUUCCAGAAAACCAAGCAAUGACAUCUAGUGCUGUACAACUUCAAGAUGCUCUUCCAUUGUUUGCUUUGUACCCUUGCCACAUCUACUUUCUGAAGACAUGCAUCAGUUGAUAAUAGCCACUGGGGGUCAGACUUCCACAUGGCCUUUACCAAACAUAUGAUUUCAUACCCAGUGCAACGGCAGAAGCGGCGACCUACAGAUUAACAGAACUCAAACCUUCCUCCCUUCUUGUAAGCCCACCAAAGCAACAGAGAUAUGUAUGUUCAUGGUAAUUACCCAAUUCAGAAUGCAAACGUAUUCAGGAAGAGACACCAGAGUAGUUUUAUAUAAAUCUUGGUUAAGUAUAUCACAGUUAAUGAGGAAUUCAUCAGUGGCCAGUGUGUUCUCUGACCUCUGGAGAUACAACCGUCCUUUCUACAGUCUGGGCAAGUGGAGCCCCUGCCCUGGGCCCCUCAUUUCAUAAGCCCCCACACUGGUCCCUCCUAGCAUGCCCUUCACCAUAGGACAAAGAAUCGCAAAUCUUUUCCAAAUGGCUGGAGAAAUCCCAGAUUUCUUCCCAGUAGUUAUCACAGAGUGAAAUUUUGGGCAAUGAUAAGCAAGAGGAAAGCUCCAAAAGAGACCUUCAAGAAGAAGCAGAUACUUGCUCGGGCUGAGGACGACGGAGCGAAGUUCAAAAGGGAGGUCUAUUAUGAAACAUAGAAGAUAAAAGAGGAAAAAACCAAGAUCAGAACUGUCAGAUUCUAGAAAUUGGUUUGAAUUUCUGUGUUCGAACAACAUAUUGCUGAAUCUAACCGCCAGGACAUGACAGAAAAAUGUCACUAGCUGAGCUCCUGCAUUGCAGUGUGAAGAUGACAGGGACGGGCUCCAAUGGUACACCACGCACACCGAUCCAGAAAAGAUGUUGCUAAUCACCAGUGUUGCUGGCACUGCCUCCAGGCGGUUCUUCUCUAGAAGAUGGACGUGGGUGAGUCACAAGGGGACUUCCUGUAUUGCUGCCUUUACAAAACCAAUUACUCAGCACAGAGAGGGAAGUGAUUGUAUCUUCCUAGGGACCAGGGAAGGAAUUCCCAAGUGGUCAGCCUCACAAAUCAGCGUUCCUUGGUCUACAGGCUUCAGUGACUACAUCUUUUUUCUCUUCCUAUAUUUAUAAAUGAUAUCCAAACUCCGGGACACACAUGUAACUAAAAUGAUGUCACCUAUUGUCACACUUAGAGAGUCUCCAUUUAGCUCGUACCAUGGGAUUUCCAAGGUUCCUUGGUGUCUCCUUUGCAAACUUUCAUAUCCCUGCUUUUCAAGGUGAGUUGUGAUGUCAUCACUUAGGACUGAAGAACACUAAGCCAACAGUCUAGCACAGAUUAAAAGAAUUUUCCUGAGUGGCACAAUGCACAGCUCGCAUCAAAUGGUAAUAAAUAUGGCCGUGCCCUAAGUGAAGCAGUAACAAUUAAACCUGUCAACUUUAACUGAGGUUGAGAAAACAAAAGAUGUUCCAGUUUACAGUGGCCCCAUGCCAGGAGACUGCUGAGACUGGAGAAAAAUCAGACUGCAGACUGAAGAAUGCUAUCUGCUAAGAAGAAUGUGCUAAUGAAAAUUUUCAGGAACAGCAGCUUUCUCAAAGUCUCUUCCAGAAUGUUAGUCGGCCAGGACCUCAAAGUAUUACUGGCCACUACGUAUUCUCCGGCAGGUGCAAGGAAGAACAACACACAAAAUCUCCCCUGAGAAAAAUUAGAGGGGAUACAGGCUGAUGUUAUAUGCUAGCUGUUAACUUUUUUCAAUAACUAUAAGUUAACUUGUAUUGAUGAAAGAUUGAAACACCACCUAGACCUUGGAGGAUAAGUAUAGCUUAUGGAGGAGGCAGGGGCAAAAAGGAAGAAUGAUGCUGCCCUGAGCAUGAACUUGAGCUUUUCUGGCCUACUGCAAGAUUAAAUAAACGUUCUCUGCUGUUGGCAAAAAAGUUAAUUUUAAGUCUCAGCUUCUGUGAAUUGGUAUCAGUCUCCUCUUAGGUCAAU